GGCUGGUCCAAAGGUAGCGAGUUAUCUCGCUUGACUGUUCGUAGUCACAGGUCAAACGCCUUGUUCUCCUAUCUUGCCCCCUUCUCACUACUGCAGUUGACUAGUCUUUA
rnacentral:Y_RNA from 1 species